rnacentral:rRNA from 1 species
CCUUUACAAUGCACGAAAGUGUGAUAAGGCAACUCCUUGUGCUUAUCCAAAAGAUAGGCUUUUUUAAUAUGUAAUGAGUAUUAAGAAUAAGUGAUGGGCAAGACCGGUGCCAGCAGCCGCGGUAAUACCGGCGUCACAAGUGGAGAUCAUGAUUACUGGGUCUAAAGUGUUCGUAGCUGGUUGUAUAAGUUUCUUGUGAAAGUUCUGUAGCUUAACUCGGAAUUGCAAGAAAUACUGUAUAACUUGGGACCGGAAGAGGUGUAAAGUAUGAAUUGGGUAGCGGUAAAAUGCUAUAAUCCUUUUCAGACUAACUAAGGCGAAGGCAUUACACUAAGACGGAUCUGACAGUGAGGAACGAAAGCUGGGGGAGCGAACCGGAUUAGAUACCCCUGUAGU